rnacentral:rRNA from 1 species
GAUGAACGCUGGCGGCGUGCCUAAUACAUGCAAGUCGAGCGAACGGACGCGAAUCUUGCUUCUCUGAUGUUAGCGGCGGACGGGUGAGUAACACGUGGAUAACCUACCUCUAAGACUGGGAUAACUUCGGGAAACCGGAGCUACUGCCGGAUGAUAUUUUGACCCGCAUGGUUCAAAAGUGAAAGACGGUCUUUCUGUCACUUCUCGACGUAUCCGCUCGGCAUUAGCUAGUUGGUAAGGUAACGCCUUACCAAGUCAACGAUGGAUAGCCGACCUGAGAGGGUGAUCGGCGACCCUGGAACGGAGACACGGUCCAGAGUCCUACGGGAGGCCGCAGUAGGGAAUGGGCGGCAAUGGGCGGAAGCCUGACGGAGCAACGGCGAGCGAGUGAUGAAGGUCUUCGGAGCGUAAAACUCGGUUAUUAGGGAAGAACAUAUGUGUAAGGAACUGUGCACAUCGUGACGGUACCUAAUCAGAAAGCCACGGCUAACUACGUG